GUGAAUGAUACAAAGUUGAGAGAAUCGCAUCCUCGAAACAUGUAGUGUGGCCAGUCUUCCGACAAGACAGGGCCCGAUUUCCUGGCUCUGUGAUCGUAUAGUGUGACAUGUUAAAUCGUGGUGGAAUAUCUGAGAAUCGUUUAGUCUGAACCAGCCAUAAGGCUGUAGAGACCCAAUGAGAAAGACUACACGUCUCGUAUGUGACGACACGCUCCCUGCAACUGGCGUGGACAAGACUACCGGUAUGCUUUCGGUUGGGCUCUACCGGAGAGGGCGAGACUUCGCCACUCUAUUGACAUACCUGUCGAGAAGAAAGCAAGCAACUUCAGCGUCCCUUUGAAAAUCAUCAUCCCUCAUUACCUCUUUAAACCUGGGAGAAGCUACCCCGCUGUUUUUGGCAACACGGAUUCCUUCCUGUGCCUUCAUGCAUUAUGAACGAAAGUGCAGUGCAGGCUUUCGGGGAAGUGACAAGCAUGUCUCGCUGAGCUCCUUCUACGUUUCAAUCACGCUGGCUCUGAUUGAAAACGCAUUUAGCCUGCUAGUAUCACGUAGUGCUUUAUGUCCCACUCGGCCCUUAUAUUCCGGAAGGACAUGCCUCCUUAGGACUUACCCUUUACAAGUAAAUAAUAUAGGCUAAUGUAAGAAAUAAGAAAUUCUUCUUUCAGGAGGAUAAGUCUGAUUAUUGGCAGAGGUGAUUUUACCCCAAUGAGGACAUAUUUGUAAAUUAACGCAUAGAUUUUUUUUAGCAAAUAUAUUACUUAAAACACUACACAGUGUCCCUUUAAUGGCCCUCUGGCCUGUUUUACAUAAACUAAACAGCGUUCUCUGUGGGAGUGACUCAAGGCUGUCAUUGGAUAUGGGUCUCAUGCUUGGUUGGCAUAUCUGUGGUCCCCUGCAUUGGUUUUUGCAUUGACAGUGGCUUCUCAUUGCAACCAAAGGAACACAUUUUAAAAUUCCCACUUAUUACUGUUUUAUUAGCCUGUCAACUGAUUGAUAAUGUGAACAGAAUUUGAGAAGGUAAUUUGGUUAUCUUAUUGUUUAAUCCUCAGUAUUUUCAUUUACACAAAAGAGGUAUGUAUUAAUAAUUUUUGGUUUACGACCAGGGCAAUGUGCAGUGGGAUGUUAAUGUACUGCCUGAUGUAUACACUGGUAUUCACAAGCUAUGGCAUGGUAAUACAUUUAAUAUGCAAAUGUUAAAAAUACUUAUUUAUAAUAAUUUUGGAAUCAAAUGUAUUGGUUUUUUUUUUAGGGGUUUUUAUUUAACAGAAAAUAAAUCAAAUUUCAGCUGCAGUUCCUCAUUUGUUACACAAACCAAUAUAAUUUUAUGUCUUCACUUAUGAUUGUUGUGGGUUUAGUUACACAGUCACAUUCCAGCGGAUGUAUUUUUUGGCAAUUUGGUUUGAAGGUCCUGGAGACACUCUCCUGGCUUAUGGCAGUGGUGAGACAAAGACCACCAGUCCAUCUCCAAAGGAAGGGGUCAAUAUUUCUUGAAUGUGUUGCAACAACAAC
ensembl:lncRNA